AUACGUAGGGUGCGAGCGUUGUCCGGAAUUACUGGGCGUAAAGAGCUCGUAGGUGGUUUGUCGCGUCGUCUGUGAAAUUCCGGGGCUUAACUCCGGGCGUGCAGGCGAUACGGGCAUAACUUGAGUACUGUAGGGGAGACUGGAAUUCCUGGUGUAGCGGUGAAAUGCGCAGAUAUCAGGAGGAACACCGGUGGCGAAGGCGGGUCUUGGGGCAGUAACUGACGCUGAGGAGCGAAAGCAUGGGUAGCGAACAGGAUUAGAUACCCUGGUAGUCCAUGCCGUAAACGGUGGGCGCUAGGUGUAGGGGUCUUCCACGACUUCUGUGCCGUAGCUAACGCAUUAAGCUCCCCGCCUGGGGAGUACGGCCGCAAGGCUAAAACUCAAAUGAAUUGACGGGG
rnacentral:rRNA from 1 species